GCCGUCCCACGGCAUAUGGAGUUCCUAGGUUGAGGAUCAUAUCUGAGCUGCAUUUAAAGUCUACACCACAGCUGUGGCCAUGCUGGCUUGACCCACUGUCCUGGGCCGGGGAUCAAACCCUGCAUCCCAACACUCUAGAGAUGCCACUGAUCCUCUUGUGCCCCAGCAGGAGCUCCCAGGUUUUCUGAUUUCAGAGUGGGAGGCAGAUUCUCCCUCCUGUAUGGAGAGGUUGAAUGCUGGAUUGUCCUCUAACAACGAAUCAUUUAAAUUUUCAAAAUGGCAGAGAAAGGAGUUUAUAAUUGAAGGGUGAUGUCCAGAUAAUUUGUGACUCCCUGUUCCUCCCAGGACUCCUCUCCUCUUGUCCUCAAAGCUAGAUGGACUACCUAACAGGGCUGCGUCCAGGACAAGGAAUGAUUAAAGCCAUUUUUGCAAAUAAUCUACCAUCCAGCCUUACCCAUGGAGAACAGUUGCAGUUGGCAGCCUGCAACUCUCCCUUGCUAGGAAAGGUUCUUUUACCACAGGACAGAGGCAGAGAAAACGUAUGCUUUCUGUAGGCACACUAGCAAGUAGGAGAAAAGAACGGACAAGAAGGCUGGGCUGUGCAUUUCUAAUUCUUUCUUCCAAACUCACCCAAAUUCACUCUUCCCCUGGGAAGAAAAUCCAGGUGUGUUGCUGUGAGGGUGCUCCCUCUACUUGGAAGGAAACAACAGGUGUCAAGCAGAAAUGUUCCCCUUUUUCACAAUGACAAUAAGCCCAUUUUUUUUUUCUUUUCUUUUUUAAACGGAUUGUCUAAAACGACCCAGAGGCUGAUGUGCCAUAUGUCCCAUGGCUUUGUCCAAGCACAUUCUUCCACAUUUGAAAACAGAAUUCAAAUCCACUUCAGCAGGAAUUAAUUGAUUCUUUCUCUUCUGGGUGGAAAGAAGGGUGGGAAAAAGAGCACAGAAGCUUAAGGUAUUUGGGGUUGCUGAAGUGAAGAGGGUGAAGGCAGGGAGAGGGGCAAAGCUGAGGUAAAGAGUCCUAGUUGUAUUCAGUAGCCCAAAAAUGGUCAUUUCAGAAGCCUGCAGGGCUGGGCAGGGACCACUGUGAGAGAAGGGGGCUCUUGGGACCGUGGGGCCAGACACCUUGCCCAGAAGGGCAGCUGUUACUCAGUUCCAGCCAACUGUUGCCAUAUGGAAUGCGAGAGCAGAGUUGCCAGAUUUUCCUAUUUUUCAUGAGAGGCUGGAAAUACUAAUUCCUGUGAAAUUUCCCAGUUUUUAAAGAGGGCCACCUCAUUUGCUUUUGAACCACUGCCUAAACGCAUAGUGAUGUUAAUUUGCCCUGUGGCCACAAGGGUGAAUUCAUUCCAAGACCAAGGGACAUCCUAGUAAAGCACUUUACACCGAUUGGUAGAUUUCUUCUUCACAGUGGCCCCUAGGAAGAAAGUACUGCUAUGGCUCCCAUUUGACAGAUGAACAUCUGAGACUGGGCCAUGGUUAAGUAGUUUCUCCAGUAUCUUAGUCCCAGCACCUGGUAGGUGGAAGCCUUUCCAGACAACCCUUCUGUGCCCCUUACCCAUCCAGAUCUAUCUCCCUGCCCCUGCUCUGUUCCACCAGAGCCACCCGUCCUGCCCUUCCCUGGUCCCAGUACCGUAAAAUACUGUAUAGCAGGAACCAUCAAAAUGAGCUGUCAUCUCCGCUCUACUGUAAAUUCUGUGAGGGCAGGGACCACGUAUGUAUCUCCAGUGCUUAGCAGCACCCUGGGCACAAGGUAAGCAUUUGCAUGAAGAUCUUUUUCCUUAAUCAUGAUGCAUUUCAGUUCUCAUGACCUUUGUGCUUUAUAUUCUCUCAUUUGAAGUUAUUUCAAGGCUCCUCAUCAUCCUGAUUACCCUCCUCUCCCUCUCUUUCUCUCCUUCCUGCACUUUCUCCUUUUCCUUCUCUUUUGCUUCUUUUUCCUCUGCAUCUGUCUCCUCUUCCUUUUCCUCUUGUCGUUCUCCGUUUUGCAGGGUCCCUUUUGAAGCAUCGUGCCCAAAACUGCUUUGUUCCUAGUAUUGCGCUGCACAUGACAGUGCUUAAGGGGGAUGUGUUUGAUUCCACAAGUGCCCAGACACAAUGCUUAGGGUAUUACUUAUGUUCUUGGUUUACUUACAUUGUUAGGCUUCCCCAAAACCCUGGAAGGUGCCUGCUACGAUUUUGUCUCUUGUGUUCCUGUUGUUGUUGUUGUUAUUUAUGGCUACACCCAUAGCAUAUGGAAAUUCCCAGGCCCAGGACUGAAUCGGAGCCACAGCUGUAACCUACACUGCAGCUCUGGCAAUGCUGGAUCCUCAACCCACUGUGCCAGGCUGGGACUUGAACCUGCAUCUCCACGGCAACCUGACUUUCUGGAGUCAGAUCGUUAGGCCACUGUACCAUAGCAGGAACUGCAGAUUUCCCCUUUUUCAAGGCAAAGUUGCUUAGACGUGAAUGAAUUCUCCCUGGCCUCACUCUCUCACUGUACUUUUCCGAAUUGCUUGAGCACUUUUUAGCCCCUGUUGUUCGGUCUUUAUCCCAGGCUCUGUGGAAAACAGAGGGAGGUCAAGGAUUUCAGAGUGCUGGACAGGAAGUGGUAGCCUGGAACAGAAUUUAUCUGCUUUCACUCACUACAUCUCCUUUAUCACAAUCCUUUCUCUGCAAAUGGAUGCCGUGAGGCUUUUACAAAUGGGUGAGGGAAAGGCCUAGUAAUGGCUGCUGUGAGCCCACAUUUCCUGAGCCCCUCUCUUGAGGUCUAGUCAUGUCAGGAAGGAUCCAGAUCAACUAUGGAAAGCACCUUCAGUUUCCAAAGUUCAGUUUAAAUCCCAACUCCAAGGCAUUUACCCAUCUUGGAAAAAGCAUGAAGGAUUGCUUUUGUCCUGAAAGCUGAGAGUCAGUAAUGUGUCAUGAGUGUGGGAAAGUCAACUUACAAGAGCCUGCAUGUAUCUGCAGACACAUGAUCCAAUAAUUAUUACACGCACGGGUCGAUGUGCCAAAGAAAUGGGACAAAGUGUCCCUGCAGCCAGCAUUUUUUGUGCCUAAUCAUUUGCUUUCAGUCUCGACAAAAUUUGGUGGAUGUUUAUGGAAGGUCCCCAUGGCCAACAAAUAGAGAGCUUUUAAUUACCUCAUUAAAGUGGGAAAAAAACAGCCCUAAGCCCAAAAUGGUGUCUCCUGAAGUGAACAUGAGAGCGAAAUGCCCACUGCAUCAAAGGCAGAGCUCAGAAAUGGUUGCAGCAAAAUGAAACAGUCUUGGCAGUCCCUCCACAUAAUUUUGUGGGUAUUGGCUUUCCACUGUAGAGAAAUUAUCUGUGGAGUGUGUAAACAAACAGAAGCAAAAGCUUUUUAGAAGCAGUUGUUAGAUAAGAAUAUUCAGUUCUGUUUGACUGACAUGUAUUGCAUCCAAAUUGUUGUUUUUAUUUUAUUUCAACCCCAAUCUGUCCAGAAAGUGAUGUAAGCAAGAAAACAUAUUCAUAUCUCCUCUGCUAAAAAAUCACACUCAUUUAUAGGAAGUCGGGGGGAUCUGUAGGUGGGGGGUUCAGAGACGGAACGAACCCCCAUUUCCCAAGAUGCUCACCACAUAAGAGAGAAGAAAGCAUUUGUAUCACUUAGAGCACUUAGUUGCAAGAACAGAAGUUUGUUUGUUUUAGUUUUCUCUUGCUGUGCAAUAAACUAUCUCAAAACUUAGUAGCUUAAAACAAUUUAUUAUCUGCCAUGGUUCCAUGGUUGACCGGGCUCAGCCACAAGGCUCUGGCUUGGAGACCGUCAUGAGGUUGUGGUCAGAUGCUGGCCGGGCUGCAUUACUUGGGGGCUUACGGGCUGGACAUCAGGAUGGCUCACUCGCAUGGCUGACACCUGAUGCUGGCUGUCACCGGGGACUUCAGUGGAGGCUGGUAAACAGAGAGCCUUCUCUUGGGAAAUCUAAUUCAAAACAAAAUCUUUUCCCAACCCAGAAAACCAGUGCCAAAGGUAGGACAGAAGAAAAUGGUUUUAUUGCUGUAUAAACAUUAAACCAGAAUGUGACGCACUCAUCAGAGGCAAUCUGUUGAGAGAUGGCAAAGAUGGAAAGAAAUCUCCCCCUUGCAGACAGCCAAGCAGAUACAGCCUAUUAUUUCCAUGUUCUCAAGAUAAACAAUAAUUAGUCCUCAGCUAAGAAGACUUGAUGGCACCAUUUGUCACACAUAGUCCAUCCUAACUUUACUUGGUAAUUGUGGUGACCAUCUAGUCAAUUGACUUUGUCCAGAGGAGUAAAAAAGUUCCAACAUCUUUGUGGUAGGAAAUUGUUUUGUAACUUGGAAUGAAGUGCCUGCUCAAGGUAGGAUCCUACUCUCUCAGAAACUUUGAGAAAGAUAAAGAGAGAGACAGAGAGACGCUAUUUUUUUAAAAUGGGUAAGAUUCAAAGAAAUAGGGUUAUAAAAUUGACGAAAGACCUAUCUAGGUUUUUUGUGAGGUUUCUUUUUUUGGGGAGGGGAGCUGUGCUCAUGGCAUGUGGAAUUUCCUGAGCCAGAGACCGAACCUGCACCACAGCAGCAAAUGAAACCAAUGCCUUGACAACACCGGAUCCUUAACCCUCAGCGCCACAAGAGAACUCCUCUAGUUUUCUAAAGUAAAUGCUCCAAGAAAAAAGAAGGGAAGAAGAGAAAUCUCUACUCUUAUUUUCAAUAGGGACAAUUAAGCCUCUUCUUUUUAAUGUGAUUUAUCCUUACUCUACACAGCCUCUCCAUGUGGCUAAAGCUUCCUUCGGGGUGGCAGCUACGUUCCAAAUUGAACCUUCCCAAGAUGGGGUGGGCACAAUUGACAUGCAAGGGGUCUCAAGACUUAGCUUUGGAAGUCACACAGUAUCCCUCUGCCUUGUUGGGUUCUGGAUGAGCCCAGAUUCUGGGCUAGCCAGGAUUCAAGGAGGUGGACAAUACCAGGAGUUGAGGCUCCAAGGGAGUCAUCUUUGAAGAUCGGCUACUGUAACACUGUUGGAGCUUUGAAUAGAAAAGUAUGUAAAAAAAAAACAGGUGACAUUGAGACCUCCCAGGAAACUGUAAGAAUCAGGCUUGGAAGCUAUACAUUCAGGAACAGUGCUCAAACCACAAUGCAUGGCUGAUCGAGCAGAACCCAUUAACGUCAUGCCUGGGCAUAG
rnacentral:lncRNA from 1 species